UACGUAGGGUGCGAGCGUUGUCCGGAAUUACUGGGCGUAAAGAGUGUGUAGGCGGUGCUCUAAGUCUGUUGUGAAAUCUCCCGGCUUAACUGGGAGGGUGCGGCGGAGACUGGAGUGCUAGAGUGUGGGAGAGGUAAGCGGAAUUCCUGGUGUAGCGGUGAAAUGCGUAGAUAUCAGGAGGAACACCUGUGGUGUAGACAGCUUACUGGACCGCGACUGACGCUGAGACACGAAAGCGUGGGUAGCAAACAGG
rnacentral:rRNA from 1 species